AAAUUGAAGAGUUUGAUCAUGGCUCAGAUUGAACGCUGGCGGCAGGCCUAACACAUGCAAGUCGAACGGUAACAGGAAGCAGCUUGCUGCUUCGCUGACGAGUGGCGGACGGGUGAGUAAUGUCUGGGAAACUGCCUGAUGGAGGGGGAUAACUACUGGAAACGGUAGCUAAUACCGCAUAACGUCGCAAGACCAAAGAGGGGGACCUUCGGGCCUCUUGCCAUCGGAUGUGCCCAGAUGGGAUUAGCUUGUUGGUGGGGUAACGGCUCACCAAGGCGACGAUCCCUAGCUGGUC
rnacentral:rRNA from 1 species